rnacentral:rRNA from 1 species
UACGUAGGGACCAAGCGUUGUUCGGAUUUACUGGGCGGAAAGGGCGCGUAGGCGGCGUGACAAGUCACUUGUGAAAUCUCUGAGCUUAACUCAGAACGGCCAAGUGAAACUGUUGUGCUAGAGUGCAGAAGGGGCAAUCGGAAUUCUUGGUGUAGCGGUGAAAUGCGUAGAUAUCAAGAGGAACACCUGAGGUGAAGACGGGUUGCUGGGCUGACACUGACGCUGAGGCGCGAAAGCCAGGGGAGCAAACGGG